rnacentral:rRNA from 1 species
UACGAAGGGGGCUAGCGUUGCUCGGAAUCACUGGGCGUAAAGCGCACGUAGGCGGCUUCUUAAGUCAGGGGUGAAAGCCUGGAGCUCAACUCCAGAACUGCCUUUGAUACUGAGGAGCUUGAGUCCGGGAGAGGUGAGUGGAACUGCGAGUGUAGAGGUGAAAUUCGUAGAUAUUCGCAAGAACACCAGUGGCGAAGGCGGCUUGCCAGAAUGCGCUCGACGGUGAGGGAUGAAAGCUGGGGGAGCAAACCGG